AUUGAACGCUGGCGGCAGGCUUAACACAUGCAAGUCGAGCGGGAUGAUGGUGCUUGCACUAUCACUUAGCGGCGGACGGGUGAGUAAUGCUUAGGAAUCUGCCUAUUAGUGGGGGACAACAUCUCGAAAGGGAUGCUAAUACCGCAUACGUCCUACGGAAGAAAGCAGGGGAUCACUUGUGACCUUGCGCUAAUAGAUGAGCCUAAGUCGGAUUAGCUAGUUGGUGGGGUAAAGGCCUACCAAGGCGACGAUCUGUAGCGGGUCUGAGAGGAUGAUCCGCCACACUGGGACUGAGACACGGCCCAGACUCCUACGGGAGGCAGCAGUGGGGAAUAUUGGACAAUGGGGGGAACCCUGAUCCAGCCAUGCCGCGUGUGUGAAGAAGGCCUUAUGGUUGUAAAGCACUUUAAGCGAGGAGGAGGCUCUUUUGGUUAAUACCCAAGAUGAGUGGACGUUACUCGCAGAAUAAGCACCGGCUAACUCUGUGCCAGCCGCCGCAGUAA
rnacentral:rRNA from 1 species